ensembl:lncRNA
GGAUAGGGACAAAACCAGUACAUAGAACAAAUAAAAAGAGAAAAGGGAUUAAAUGCGUCAUUGUGCUGAAAACUACACAGUAAUAUUAGAAUCGAUUUUUUUCCUUGUGGUUAAUUUUCCGGAGUUUAAUCCUCUCUCACCGCACAGUUUCUCGUCAGAUCCAUCGGGACAGUCGUCUUUCCCGUCACACAGCCUCUCAGGUGGUAGGCAGAUGUUGGAGUCAUUAACACACACGUGGUGAGAGAGUUUACACACCAGCGCUUCACAGUUCUCCUCAUCCGAGCUGUCCUCGCAGUCGCUGUCUCCGUCACACACCCACGCCUUACUGAUACACUUCGCUAGGGGACCAAAGUCUCUGCAGCCGAAUUUGACGGCAGGGUCGCAGAUGUUGGUGACGCCUUCGCAGUUUUUUUCGUCGCUCAUGUCGACGCAGUCGGUGUCUCCAUCACAGCGCCAGCGCAGAGGAAUACACAGACUGUCCAUCCGACACUGAAACUCAUCUGUGUGACAGCCACCGGGGGGACGGGUCGCUGAAACAUCACACGCACAGGGUUACAGACAGAGUGUGUGUGUGUGUGUGUGAAUGAAACACCUUGACAUACACUUUACUGCUGUCACUACUAUAUAUUUAUUAGAAUGAAGAUGAGAGGAUGAUGAGAGGAUGAUUAUGAUUAUCACCGUUGUUGCUGCAGUUGGCGUGGGUCUCGUCGCUGAAGUCGUUGCAGUCGUUGUCUCCGUCGCAGGUCCAGUAAUCGGGGAUACAGCGGCCGCUGUUGCAUUUAAACUGUGUGGUGGAGCAGGAGUGAGGGCAGCCCGCUUCAUCGCUGUUAUCACCGCAAUCAUUAUCUACAACACAACGCAAUUACACAACAACGCUACACAAUCGCCGCGGGAUACACAACACGGUUCAAAAUUGCCACGGGACACACAACAAUCUCUAUUCCAAUCUACUGCAGACUAUUCAAAUAUCACAUCAAUAUAAACUGACUUACAGGCAAGGAAUUUAAAAACAAAAAAACACCGGCCUUUAUUCAUCAAAACAGGUCAUGGGGUGGAGUUCAUUUAAUGUUAUGUAAAUAAUAUGCAAAUGAGGUUGAACCGGGUUGAAUUCUGCUGUACAGUAUACACAUAGGUAAAUAAUAUGCAAAUAAAAUGAAACACAAAAUUCUGAGGACAGACUCUAGGAACUACAGACGAUUUCUAGGAACUUUAAUGAAUGAAGGCCGAUUAAUUAAAUUCAUUAAAAUUCACACACACACACACACACACACACACACACACACAAACAUUUAGACAUUUAAAUAAAGUCAAACACACAAACAACACAAUAGAUAAUCACAGAAACUGCAUAGAUCGGACCAUGCACCAUGAGGAAAAAAUAUAUUUAAAUAAAAAUUUAAAGAAAUGGGAAAUUAUAUCUCUGUAUAGCUGCAGUGUUUUACAACAAAUAUCUACUGCAUUAUGUUAAAAAAGAUUUUUUUUUUAUUACUCUGUAGGAAAAGCUUACAUAUUAAUAAUAUUUACAAUAUGAAUACGUUCAAUAUUUUAUUUCCUACUAAGAAUUUACCAAUAAAAUGAAACUGAGAUCUUGCUGCAAUUCAGGUAUCUAAGUAUCUCAUAUCUAAUAAUUCUUUUAUUUUUUAUUCCUAUUACAUCUGUUUUUAUUUUUUUAUUUAUCUAUCUAUCUAUCUAUCUAUUUAUCUGUAGAUAUUAUGGUGCAUGUUGAUCUAUGCACUAACCGGUCAGGUUGGGACAAUUGAACUCAUCAGAUCCGUCCCCACAAUCCUUUUCUGCAACAGCGAGCCAAUUGGAGACAAGGGGGGGCGGGGCCAAUGGCACAGAGAACAGGAAAUGAUGUAAACACACACACACACAGAUGAAUAAAUGAGGUAACGAACACAAAAACACACACAAAGACAGACACAUGGUAACGACGGAGAUGUGAUGUAGUACUACAAAGACACACACCAACACACAGUAAAACACUAUAACACACAACAAGACACACAAUCACACGUGAGAGAGUUAAAGUGUCUCACCGCUGUCGCAGCGCCAGUUCAUGUUGAUGCAGCGUCCGUUAUUACACGUGAACUGAGUCGGAGGGAAACACGUCGGAUACGCUGGAAAACACAACCACGGUGUCACGGAAUCAGGAACAAUAUACACGGAAUAAACAAGUAAGGAAUAACACGCUCCGUGUAAGCACACAGUCUGGGGUGUUUCUUCCGCUUACACCGCAGCAAUUUACCAACCAUUAUGCUGUUUACUUUACUAAUGAACGGCACAUCACACGUUUCCACGUGUUGUGGAAUAUCUGCGAGACAGGUCACGCUGCAGCCCGUUUUACUCUGAAACUAGCCCAACAUCCGACGGUGAAAAGCGCAAAGGAACGGAAUUUCUACUCAGGAAAUUGCUGACUCUGACAAACUCUCCUGAAUUCACAAUAAUCUGCUGGCCCAGGUGUAGCGUUCAUGCUGUGAAAAACUUUUCCACUGAUUUUACACGCUUAGAUUUUCAUUAUAAAACCGUGUGAUUUUAUAAUACGAUUUUUUAUGAGUUAUAUGAUUUUAUAAGAAAAGAUAUUGUUUCAAAUCGAUAAUUACUCAUAAAUAAUUCAUGAAGAUGAAGAUAGGGGAUAGGGGACAGGGGAUAGGGGACAGGGGAUUUGGGACAGGGGAUAUGGGACAGGGGAUAGGAGAUAGAUUAUAGGGGACAGGGGAUAUGGGACAUAGGAUAUGGGACAUGGGACAGGGGAUAGGGGACAGGGAUAUGGGACAGGGGAUAGGAGAUAGAGGAUAG